CUGGAGUGGAGGUCACUUGAGGUGUGCCUGGCACCGGCCACAAUGUGAAAAUAACACAGCACAAGCUCCGGUAAUUAUUAGCCGUCUGAUCUGGGGCAAGAUGCUUCGCUUGAAACCUCGGAGUUUUCAUACAUAAAAAUGGGAUGAAUAUCUGCUUUUCAGGGUUGCCAGAAGGAUUAAGUGAGAUGCGUUCAAUUGCUUAGCGUAGUGCCUUACACACAUGGGCCACAAAUAAUUUCCCUUCUAAGGAUUAAUAUUUAGAUGGUUUUAUUUCUCCCAGAAGGCCUAUGAGAGGAAAAGUAAAAAGUUCCAGCUUUUCAAGUUUUCCAAGCCUAUAUAUUUUUUUUCUCCAACAUAUACUCUUAGAAAAAAAUCAAAAUACAAAACUUGAAAGAAAAAAAAGUUACUGUGUUUCUCCUUAUCCCUGCUUUUUGCUUUGCAGUUUUAGUUACCCAAGGCCGACACUGGUCUGUAGGCAGAGGGUCCUUCUUGUGACUUAUUGUGACAGGGGCAAUCUCCAUCACAAUGCCUGCGUCACCCCCCUCACUCCCUCCCUCCGUCUCAUCACCGAGGCGUUUUAUCAUCUCGUGUCAUUGCAAGUAGAAGGUUGAGCUCCUGGCACGGACCAACCACUAUUCUAGGAACUAUGGAGGCAAACAUAAGACAGAUAUUCUCCACGUUUAGAAGACAGACAGCCUUCAGCUGGACCACCUUCCUUUGCCAUGACUUGGUGUGCUGAGUAUACAAGCUUAUCUUAACAUCAGUAGGAG